rnacentral:sRNA from 1 species
GACCUCGGCUCCCGUGUUGCCAGGAUCCGACCUCUCCUAGUUGAAAACAGCCUCGUGUUCCCCUGGGCCGAGGGGCAGCUCCAGAGGACUGGCUGAGUGCUCCGCGGCACUGGACCGUUGUGAAGAUCAGAUGGGACAUUGUACGCGAAGGCAUGCUGCGGACACUACAUGCCUGGGCAAGAGGUACAGCGUUGAUGGUCCCCUCUCUUCGGGGAAACUUGCACUUGAACUUUAUGCUUUUCAUUUUCACACCCUCUGGGAGGGAGGGAGGCCCGGGAGAUCACUGACCCCUGAGGUUCAGCAGGGGGAGCGCCCAAUGCUCCGAGGUGGGGUCAAGGCAGAGGCAGGAGCCUGGGUCGGGAUCCCCAGCCUAGGGGUCUUCCCAUGACUUCCUCAUGUAGGUCCCCACGUGGGUAUGUUUGUGUGCAUAUAUUACAUAUGCACAACUGCAUAUGUUUUAACAUAUGACCAUAAUAGAAUAUGUUUUAACUUGUCAUGUAUUUUUUAUUUUUCCUGCCUCAGAGUUGCACUGGGGCCAGCACGUUGGGCUCCCACCAGGCCAGUCUGGGAGGGCAGGAAGGAAGCUGGCUGUGUCUUGUCACUAAGGGUCAUGGUUUUUUGGUUUCUGGGAAACAAUGCGAACAUCAAGAAUCUCAGGGCAUGGACUCCCCUGAAGGCAGGCCCAUUUCAUGAAAUGAAUUUUAGUUUUACAAAGCGCAUCCCUUAGUUGGAUUUCUGUUUUCCAGGGCACUUGUUUAAGCUUUGAUGCCGGGUCCAAAAAAAAAAAA